UUUUACCUGUUGUCAUUUUACCACUAAUAUAUUCUGGAUCUCUCUUCAUAUCAGCUAUAGCAGCCAAAGGUAUUCCCCAAUUUGCAACUAAAACAUAUUAUUAUCAAUAUAUUAUUAUCAUCACUCAUGAUAGUGUUAUACAGAAAUAGAUCACAUAUAAUUUAUUAACUCAUAGAGUGGCAAUUCGCUCCAAUGUGCCUCCAUUACUUUAUUAUAAAUAUUUUACUUUAUACAGUAUAAUACCUUAUUGAAUUCUGAUCAUUUAAUUGGCUGUUUAUGGUCAUGUGAUAUUGAAUAGAAAAUUCCAUUUCCCAAGAGUGCAAUGGAAUACGUUCCAUUGCACUCUUGCAAGUGCAAUUGUACUAAUAAUAUAUGUUUUAUUCCAUUGCACUCUUUGUGUUUUCGAUAAAUCGCAUCCGUCAAAAUGCUUCUCAUACGGUGAUCGCAGUUUAUUUUAACCCGAUAUUCGAAACUCAGUAAAUGGAAUUUAAUGCAAAUACGACUCGUCAAAAUGGCGGGAGCUUACAGUAAACCUUUUAAUAUUAGUCUAUUUUGGUA